rnacentral:lncRNA from 1 species
AUGAAGAAUGUGUUAGCAGGAUUAUCAAAGCUAAAAGAGAUGCAUUCAGAAUACAAAGAUGUAUCUAUUGAUGAUGACGCUACUUUUGCUGAUCCCACAAAUAAUCAGAUAAUCGAGACGGAACAUGACACUGCUGAUGCAGAUAUUCAAGAUGCACUGCCCAGAAACUUCGACAACCAAAUUGUACCAGAAAGAAGAACCACUGAGGAUACAACAGCUGGAAUACUUGAGCCAUCUCAUGAUGUAAACGAACUAUUGGAGCCUGAACAGUCAAAUGGAGAGCCCUUACAAGAUACGGAGAAAGAAAAGGAAGAACUUCGCCCUGGUCUUGUUCUAGACACCUGUAUGCAACCACCAGAUAUAGCACAGGACAUUUUAUCAUAUGGUGAAGGAAUAUUUAGCAUUGCACCCGCCCAAGGAAAUAGACCUGUUGGCUUCUUCUCUGUUCCUAAACUUGAAGCCAUGGCCUUUCCUGUGCAGUUCCCAACUGGACAGAACACAUUAGAUGAAGCCAGACAAGUCAAACUGUCCCCAAGCAUGUAUUUUAAUACACGGCUGUUCUCUGCAGAUACACGGUUUGCAACUGACCAAAGCUACCUAUUCUUUGCACAGUUUGUAACAGAAACACACAUGGCUACAAACAGCAUGUCCAUCCAAUUGCGCAAAGGUAAGGCAAUCACCAAGGAUGGACGUAGAAUUUGUAACAGAAUGCUUCAAAAUAAAGACGAAGUGGAGAGACUGAUAAAUAACAAAGAUGCAACACGCUUCAUGAAACCUCUGAGAGGUACUCCAGCCUAUUGGGAGAAGGCACUGAAAGAUCUCCAUGCUAUGGUCAGACAGUUAGGAAAGCCGACUUGUUUCCUGACAUUUUCAGCUGCUGAAAUGAGAUGGCCUGAGGUUGUUGAGGUCAUAAAAACUCAACAAGGUGAACAAGUGGAUUUUUCACAACUUGACUGGAACACAAAGUGUGAAAUUCUCCGAAGCAACCCUGUGACUGUGAUGCGAUUGUUUGAAAAAAGAGUCGAUGCACUAAUGACAACACUGAUCCUGUCCCCAGCACAGCCCAUCGGUGAAGCAGAAGAUUACUUUUAUCGAGUGGAGUUUCAGGCCAGAGGUAGCCCUCAUAUCCAUUUACUGGUUUGGGUCAAAGAUGCACCUAAAUUUGGAAGCGACCUUGAAGACCACGUGUACAAAUUUAUUGACAAGUACAUAACAUGUAAGAUGCCUGACCAAAAUGCCGAUCCUGAACUUCACAAAAUUGUGUCUGAGGUUCAAGUCCACAGCAGAAAUCACUCCAGAUCCUGCAAAAAAGGUAAUGUGUCAUAUAGGUUUGGGUUCCCCAAACUACCGGUAGACCAAACAAAGAUCACUUUCCCAAGCCCAGAUGAUGACGAUGAUCACAAUGAUAAGCAGCAUAGCACAAGUAAGGAGAAAGGCACAAAUGAAAAA